CCAGGAGGCUGGGAUCGAAGGC
rnacentral:miRNA from 1 species